rnacentral:rRNA from 1 species
CAGUAGCCACGGUAAUACGAAGGGGGCUAGCGUUGUUCGGAUUUACUGGGCGUAAAGGGCGCGUAGGCGGACUGAUAAGUCAGGGGUGAAAUCCCAAGGCUCAACCUUGGAACUGCCUUUGAUACUGUUUGUCUUGAGUUCGAGAGAGGUAAGUGGAACUGCGAGUGUAGAGGUGAAAUUCGUAGAUAUUCGCAAGAACACCAGUGGCGAAGGCGGCUUACUGGCUCGAAACUGACGCUGAGGCGCGAAAGCGUGGGGAGCAAACAGGAUUAGAUACCCCGGUAGUCCCUGUCUCUUAUAA